rnacentral:rRNA from 1 species
UACGAAGGGUGCAAGCGUUGUUCGGAUUUAUUGGGCGUAAAGCGCGCGCAGGCGGAUUGGUAAGUCAGGUGUGAAAAUCUCGGGGGCUUAACCCCGAAUUAGCGCCUGAAACUAGUCGAUCUAGAAUCCUGGAGAGGGAAGGGGAAGUUUCUCAUGUAGGGGUAAAAGUACCGUAGAUAUGAGAAGGAACACCGGAGGCG